rnacentral:rRNA from 1 species
GGACCCGCACAAGUAGUGGAGCAUGUGGUUUAAUUCGAAGAUACGCGCAGAACCUUACCAACACUUGACAUGUUCGUCGCGACUCUAAGAGAUUAGAGUUUUCGGUUCGGCCGGACGAAACACAGGUGCUGCAUGGCUGUCGUCAGCUCGUGUCGUGAGAUGUUGGGUUAAGUCCCGCAACGAGCGCAACCCUCACUUUUAGUUGCCAUCAUUAAGUUGGGCACUCUGAAAGAACUGCCAGUGAUAAGCUGGAGGAAGGUGGGGAUGACGUCAAGUCCUCAUGGCCCUUACGUGUUGGGGCUACACACGUGCUACAAUGGUAUCUACAACAGGAAGCAAAACAGCGAUGUUAAGCAAAUCCUUAAAAGAUAACCUCAGUUCGGAUUGCACUCUGCAACUCGAGUGCAUGAAGCUGGAAUUACUAGUAA